GAGACAGUGAAUCUGAGGACGAGGGGAAUUUGUCGUACGACCUAGUCAAAGAAGGUUGUAUUAAGGACUCGACCUUCGACUUCAUCGACACUGAUUCCAACUCUCAGCCACUCUCCGACCCCAAAGUGAAAAGAUUUACUUUUAAAUCUUUUAGCUUUUUGGAUUCCCACACUGCAAUUUUCAUCCAUGCAGUUCUAAAAGUCUGCAGUGUCUCGAAUAGCAGUUUUGGCUGCACAGAUCUAUGUUCAAACGGCAGACGGAAGAGGUCCGUUGACGGAAAAAGUGAACUAAACGACGGACGGUUCCAUGUCUAUCAGGGACCAAUGGUAGCUGGGUACCCCAUUGAAACCAAAGUGGCAACGGGUUCGGGAGGUGAUAUAAAACUGGGAUCGGAAGUUUUGACUGUGCUCCUCCUGCUGCACCUCCUCUUGUAAAAUAAGAAUAAGCUAACUCGCGGUUAGUAGUGAACUAACACUAUAACUAUGGACAGUUUAUUCUAAACAUUAUUAUGACCUUUGAUCAAUACUAAUUCUUUUUAUUUAUAAAAAUUAUGAAGACACUCUGAUUCUAAUUUUUAAACUUUAGAGCAUUAUCAUUAUGUUGCCAUGAAACCCACUAAAUUAUUUCGCAAAUUAUGAGAUUUUAAAUGGUUUGAAACACACGACAGUUUCAUGUAGUAGAUUAAAUAUUUAAUUGUAUGUUAUACUGCAUGCAAGAUGGUAUGCUUUUGGUUUUAAUGUAGCCGUAGGGGCGUAUCGAAUCGUUUUAAUUAGUUGAAGUGUCUCGUCACCUUUGUUGGACAUGAAAGUUUGUUAAUCUGAUCGCAGCUCAAAUAUUGUAUUUCUAAUAGUAUUAGUAAUCUUGAAUGGCUGAAUAAGUGUGUUUAA